rnacentral:rRNA from 1 species
AUUGAACGCUGGCGGCAUGCCUUACACAUGCAAGUCGAACGGCAGCACGGGGGCAACCCUGGUGGCGAGUGGCGGACGGGUGAGUAAUGCAUCGGAACGUGCCCUGAAGUGGGGGAUAACGCAGCGAAAGCUACGCUAAUACCGCAUAUUCUGUGAGCAGGAAAGCAGGGGAUCGCAAGACCUUGCGCUUUGGGAGCGGCCGAUGUCGGAUUAGCUAGUUGGUGGGGUAAAGGCCUACCAAGGCGACGAUCCGUAGCGGGUCUGAGAGGAUGAUCCGCCACACUGGGACUGAGACACGGCCCAGACUCCUACGGGAGGCAGCAGUGGGGAAUUUUGGACAAUGGGCGAAAGCCUGAUCCAGCCAUGCCGCGUGAGUGAAGAAGGCCUUCGGGUUGUAAAGU